rnacentral:rRNA from 1 species
UACGAAGGGGCUAGCGUUGCUCGGAAUCACUGGGCGUAAAGCGCACGUAGGCGGAUUGCUAAGUCAGGGGUGAAAUCCUGGAGCUCAACUCCAGAACUGCCUCGAUACUGAGAGACUUGAGUUCGGGAGAGGUGAGUGGAACUGCGAGUGUAGAGGUGAAAUUCGUAGAUAUUCGCAAGAACACCAGUGGCGAAGGCGGCUC